rnacentral:rRNA from 1 species
AGAACGAACGCUGGCGGCAGGCUUAACACAUGCAAGUCGAGCACCCCGCAAGGGGAGCGGCAGACGGGUGAGUAACGCGUGGGAACAUACCCUCCGGUUCGGAAUAGCUCAGGGAAACUUGGAUUAAUACCGGAUACGGCCUAGCGGCGAAAGAUUCAUCGCCGGAGGAUUGGCCCGCGUUCGAUUAGCUAGUUGGUGAGGUAACGGCUCACCAAGGCGACGAUCGAUAGCUGGUCUGAGAGGAUGAUCAGCCACAUUGGGACUGAGACACGGCCCAAACUCCUACGGGAGGCAGCAGUGGGGAAUAUUGGACAAUGGGCGCAAGCCUGAUCCAGCCAUGCCGCGUGAGUGAUGACGGCCUUAGGGUUGUAAAGCUCUUUCGCUAGGGACGAUAAUGACGGUACCUAGACAAGAAGCCCCGGCUAACUUCGUGCCAGCAGCCGC